rnacentral:rRNA from 1 species
CAGCCGCCACGGUAAUACAGAGGGUGCGAGCGUUAAUCGGAUUUACUGGGCGUAAAGCGUGCGUAGGCGGCUUUUUAAGUCGGAUGUGAAAUCCCUGAGCUUAACUUAGGAAUUGCAUUCGAUACUGGGAAGCUAGAGUAUGGGAGAGGAUGGUAGAAUUCCAGGUGUAGCGGUGAAAUGCGUAGAGAUCUGGAGGAAUACCGAUGGCGAAGGCAGCCAUCUGGCCUAAUACUGACGCUGAGGUACGAAAGCAUGGGGAGCAAACAGGAUUAGAUACCCGAGUAGUCCCUGUCUCUUUACC